ensembl:piRNA 21ur-10013 ncRNA
UUUCUCAUCAACUUACAGGCU